GAUGAACGCUGGCGGCGUGCCUAAUACAUGCAAGUCGAACGGAGAGUGAUACUUCGGUAGAAGCUCUUAGUGGCGAACGGGUGAGUAACGCGUUGGUGACCUACCCCGAAGAGAGGGAUAACAGUUCGAAAGGACUGCUAAUACCCCAUGAGAUCAUUCAGGUUAGAGGCUGAAUGAAGAAAGGAGAAAUCCGCUUUGGGAGGGGCCUGCGUCCCAUCAGCUAGUUGGUAAGGUAAAGGCUUACCAAGGCAGAGACGGGUAGGGGACCUGAGAGGGUGACCCCCCACAAUGGAACUGAAACACGGUCCAUACACCUACGGGUGGCAGCAGUAGGGAAUAUUGCACAAUGGGCGAAAGCCUGAUGCAGCAACGCCGCGUGUGCGAUGAAGGCCUUCGGGUUGUAAAGCACUUUUCGGGGAGAUGAGGAAGGACAGUAUCCCCGGAAUAAGGCUCGGCUAACUACGU
rnacentral:rRNA from 1 species